rnacentral:rRNA from 1 species
AGUGAACGCUGGCGGUAGGCCUAACACAUGCAGGUCGAACGGCAGCACAGUAAGUGCUUGCUCUUACGGGUGGCGAGUGGCGGGCGGGUGAGGAAUACAUCGGAACCGACUUUUUCGUGGGGGAUAACGUAGGGAAACUUACGCUAAUACCGCAUACGACCUACGGGUGAAAUCAGGGGAAAUUCGCACCUUGCGCGAUUGCAGGAGCCGAUGUCGGAUUAGCUAGUUGGGGGGGUAAAGGCCCACCAAGGCGACGAGCCGUAGCUGGUCUGAGAGGAUGAUCAGCCACACUGGAACUGAGACACGGUCCAGACUCCUACGGGAGGCAGCAGUGGGGAAUAUUGGACAAUGGGCGAAAGCCUGAUCCAGCCAUACCGCGUGGGUGAAGAAGGCCUUCGGGUUGUAAAGCCCUUUUGUUGGGAAAGAAAAGCAGCAGGUUAAUACCCCGCUGUUCUGACGGUACCCAACGAAUAAGCACCGGCUAACUUCGUG